GUAUAUCCGGCUCUGACGUGAAUGGGGUCUCCCUGGAGAUCAUAAUCAGGAAAAGGGGGAUUUUCUACAGCACUUACUGUUGAAUAACCUUGACUAUCUCUCUUAUUUUUAUUUUUUACUCUUUCAGCUCCAGAGGACUGAAGAGGAGGUCUGGGUCCAGUAAAGGGAGGGUUAAAGAGGGCAGGAGGCGGAGACAGGAACAAAAACACAAGACGGUGAAGCAGAGAGAGACAGAGAGAAGAGGACCAGUGACUGUGACACAGAUAAUCAGACUGAGACUUUAAAGAUGGAUUUAAGUUCGCUUCAAGCUCUGGAGAGAGAAAGAGUCCUGGAGGUUCUUCGAAGAGACAAACAGCUGCGUACUAUUGAAGAGGACAGGAUAAGGAGGAUGAAAUAUGAGCUCCAGGAGCUUCGAAGGAGAGGCGCAAAGAGUUUCGCCCGGCAGUACGGCGAGCGGACCUGCGCCCGCUGCCAGAGGCCGCUGGGAAAGUUCUGGAACUCGGGCGCAGUCUGUCGCGGCUGCAGCCACCGCAUCUGCAGCAAGUGCCGCGUGGGCGUGGGAGCGACGGGCUGGAAGUGCACGGUCUGCCACGCCUACAGGGACGUGAAGUUCAGGUCUGGAGAGUGGUUCUUAGAGGAGAGAGCAAAGAAAUUUUCAGUCACCACAGACAAAUAUGAGAUGGUUGGGGAGAAAAUAUUAAAGACCUACAACAUGCUGCGUCAUAUAUCAAUUGUGCCUCCCACUCCUCCACCCUACUUGGAUUGUCCAUUUCUGAGCAGAUCUGGGGAUUUGAAAAACUCAAAACCUUUCACCAAAUCUAUGGAAGAUCUAAUGUUUUCCUUCACCAGUCAUAUUAGGACAGGGAUUUCCACUUCUCAGAGCGAUGUGCGAGGAGACCUGCUGAGAGUUGACAACAACCGGAGAGGGUCGUGCUUAAAGUACAGCUCCCAAAAGAGCCUCUCUGACACUGACAUCAGCAAAUCUCACAAUCUCUUUAAAGGACCCAGUCUUCCAAACCUGUUCAAGAAAAGCAAAGACAGCGACCAGGAAGGCUACUCAACCGGGGCGGAAGAAGAAACAUCUUAUGGUUCUGAGUACUCUGGAGGAAAGAGAGGCAGUAGCAGUAGCAGCAUCAGCACAGACUGUGGCCUCUUCGAGAGCAUCGGCAUAGCAGGAGAGCUGGAACUGGCUCUGGCCUUCAACACCAAUAAAUCUUGUCUGGAAAUCACUGUCGGCGCCUGCAGAAAUCUCUCCUACGGAGACACCAAGAAGAAGAAGUGUCAUCCAUAUGUCAAACUCUACAUGCUGCCGGGAAUGAGCGGUAAAAUGAAGACGACGGUCAAGAAAAACACGACCGAUCCGGUUUAUAAUGAAGUUUUAAAGUAUGACAUAGAGCGCCACCUGCUGUUCGGCAAGAGACUGCAGGUCUCUGUGUGGCAUUCAGGAACCCUGAGAAGGAAGGUGUUUCUCGGUGAGGUCCUCGUCCCGCUGGACGGCUGGAGAUUUGAGGACAAGGACUCCCAGGGCUUCAACUGGUACCCGCUUUGUCCAAAGGCUGAGAGUCCAGACGGAGGCGCUGUGGAGCAAUAUGUUGGAGAUCUGCUGGUCAGAGCCAAGUUCAGCUCCAACCACCAGGGUGUCUGACUCUGGGAGCAGGCAGAGAGCUCAUCCAGACGACGGCCAUUUCUGAGGGUGAGACGGCUCUCUGAACCCAGAGCUGUGGCCCCUGCUGGCCCUCUGACGGACCCCUGGUGAGGGCCUCAGGCAACUAUCACUCUGGGUUCACCAUGGCAACAGGUGUAUUGACGUCAGCUUCAUCCGUCUCCCGCCAAACGUCGACAUCGGGAGAACGUGAUCACGUUCAACGCCUCUGCCCAGCAACUGACUCUGCACUUUGACAUGGUCACAGUGCAGUAUUUAUCCUGUAAGAACUGUAAGCCAUCAUACGUUUGUAAAGAAAUGUUUUUUAUUUAUUUAUCUAUAAAACUGAAUCACUUUAUAAUUAAAAGUAUUUAAGUCUGGAACUUUAACGUCCCUCUUCUUAAACUGACAAAGUGGCUAUAAUUAUGCAGAAACAUUACACCCAUCAGUACUACUAUUUAUUUUAUUUUCCAUUAUUUUGUAUGUAUUUUUUCUAUUAAAAUACUGGUAAUAAUGAUAAGGGUUUGAAUCUGACCAUGGCUCUUUGCUCUCUCUUCCUUCCUGGCUAUCACUUUAACGAUGCAAUGAAGGC